rnacentral:tRNA from 1 species
GUCUCAGUGCCAAAGUGGUUAGCGCACGUGCCGCUGUUAUGCGCGAGACGCGGGUUCGAAUCUCGCCUGAGAUG